AGUGGCGGCGGCGCCGAGGCGGAGGGCGGCGAUGGGGGCCCGGGGCGGCGGGCGCCGCACUCGCUGAGGCCCCGACGCAGGGCCGGGCCGGGCCCAGGCCGCGCGCGCCGACGCGAGAACCGCGACCAGCAGGUGGAGUGCAGGCCCUGCAGGUCGGACACCCUUGAGGACAGCCAUCGCCUGGCCCUGCUAGCCUGUGCCUUGGACGGCUGUUCUCAGUGAAGGACCGUGCGGCCG
rnacentral:lncRNA from 1 species